rnacentral:lncRNA from 10 species
CAUAUAGCCUACUUGGCCAGCCCCACUGACCCUGAUACCCUGCACAGUUUGCACAGAUAGGCCACAAUGACCACUGCUCAGUCAUAGUGUGACACACACACACACACACACACACACACGUGUAAUUUUGGUAAUCUCCCCUAUGUUCCUAUGCAUUGGCAUUUGCCCUCUCAGCCCAUUGUGCUUACUAUGAUAUCCCAAAAUAAGGAAGACUGACUGCCAUCCUAGCUGGCCUCCUAAUGUUGUGGAUUUGGGUCGGUGUUCUGAGCUCCCCUCACCUCCUCUUAUUUGUAUGCAGAACUGCUGUACUGCUUCUGAUCCACUUGGCCAAGAACAGCAGUGGGCUGUGUCUAGUGAAUUGCUAUGACUUUCUCAGUCUCCCCAUCAGUCAGACACAGCCUGUCCUACAGAAUUCUGGAAAGGUCUCUUGUAGACUCCA